GGAAGGUUACUCAAGUGGUCUAAGAGGUCGUCUUGGAAAGGCGAUAGGUCGGUCACGAUGCGAGGGUUCGAAUCCCUCAUCUUCCUC
rnacentral:tRNA from 1 species